rnacentral:rRNA from 1 species
AACGAACGCUGGCGGCAGGCCUAACACAUGCAAGUCGAACGCCCGUAGCAAUACGGGAGUGGCAGACGGGUGAGUAACGCGUGGGAACGUGCCCUUCGGUUCGGAAUAACUCAGGGAAACUUGAGCUAAUACCGGAUACGUCCGUAAGGAGAAAGAUUUAUCGCCGAAGGAUCGGCCCGCGUCGGAUUAGCUAGUUGGUGAGGUAACGGCCCACCAAGGCGACGAUCCGUAGCUGGUCUGAGAGGAUGAUCAGCCACACUGGGACUGAGACACGGCCAGACUCCUACGGGAGGCAGCAGUGGGGAAUAUUGGACAAUGGGCGAAAGCCUGAUCCAGCCAUGCCGCGUGAGUGAAGAAGGCCUUAGGGUUGUAAAGCUCUUUCAGCGGGGAAGAUAAUGACGGUACCCGCAGAAGAAGCCCGGCUAACUUCGUGCCAGCCGCCGCGGUAAC